rfam:Alligator sinensis unplaced genomic scaffold scaffold876_1, whole genome shotgun sequence
GCCCCAGUGGUCUAAUAGAUAAGGCACUGGCCUUUUCAACCAUCAAUUGUGGGUUUGAGUCCCCCCUGGGGUG